AGGGUGAGAAGGGGACGGCGGGGCCGAGACGAGAACGGGCGAUGGGUCACCAGCCCUGUCCGUGAUUGCAAACCCUUGGUCGCUUUGAAACUGUCCCGCUUCAGACAGAGCCUUUUCCCUUCCCGGCCUGAGCCCCGCACCCUACCCCACUCGGACCCGAGCCUUCAGCCCAAACAGCCAGUGCUGACCCGUCCCCUUCCUCUUCUCCACCCGUGACCCGAGCCCAGCCCUUACCCUCACCCCUUCACCACUGGUCUUGCCAGCUGGAGGGCUUAAACACCGGCCUGUUGUCGUGCAUAGCCAGGUGCAGGAUCGGAGUCAGGCCUUAGAGACGAGGCUGUCGCGGAUGGCAGGGAAGUCUCUAAGAAGAAGAGGUUGCUGUUUACUGAUGAACGGAGUGUUUCGAAAGUGGUGAAGCCAGGUUAUCCAUUUCUUCUUUUAAUGUGUCAUGUGAUUCUCCGAGGGAGCUGCAGUGUGAGCGGAAAUGCUCUCGGUGGUGGAGAAUGGACUGGACCCCCGGGCUGCCAUCCCGGUAGGCAGUCGGAGAGGCUCAAGGGUGGGGAAGGGGGCACGGGACAGCCAUGUCAUUGGUUUUCCUCACUUUGAAAUGAAUGAGUACUGUCUGGAAAGCAAGGCCUCGGGUGAGAAAGAGUUAUAGCAGAAGCAGGCUCUGAGGAGAUCCUGCCCUUUCUAGAACAUCUUAUUGGUGAUAGAAUGGGAAUUGAUAAAAAACAACGGAUUUUAAUACGGGCUGCCUGAAGACCAAGGAUUUCUCAAAGGAAGUCAUACAUAUGGGGCGCCUGGGUGGUUCACACGGUUAAGCGUCAUGAUCGUAAGCGGCUCAUGGUCUUGCAGUUUGUGAGGUCAAGCCCUGCAUUGGGCUCUCUGCUGUCAGAGCAGAGCCUGCUUUGGAUCCUCGGUCCGCUCUGUCUCUGCCCCCUCCCCCACAGGCACAUACAUGUAUGCACAUUCUCUCUCUCUCUCUCUCAAAACUAAGU